rnacentral:lncRNA from 1 species
GUGGCGAUGACAGGAGGGUGGCUGUUACUGCCUGGGUUGGCAGAGCCAAGGUAACUAGAGUCUAAACAAAGGUUGAGAUCCUGAGGUCGGACGGGCCUAGAUAGUGCCACUACUACCCUGUCGUCUAAAGGAGACGGAGGCAUGAGGAGGCUGAAAACUGGCAAUUCAAGAAGAACUCAAGACAGUUUCAUAAAUAAGUGUAUUCCUCCACCAUCUGGCGCUCCUCUUCAGCUAUGGACUCGCACAUUCAGCCCCCAUUCAC